UUGUCAUAAAUAAUAUGAAAGGGAGUUCGGGAGAAGAAAGGGAAUGAAGGGAGGACAGCUAGGGAAAGGGAAGACGGAAUGAGAGAGAGAGAGAGAGAGAGAGAGAGAGAGAGAGAGAGAGAGAGAGAGAGAGAGAGAGGGAAGGAAGAAAGGAAUGGAAACAGGGGGGCAUAGGUAGGACAGAUGUGACAUGGCAAACAAAUAAAGAAAAUGAAGAUGCAAUUGAGUGGAAAUAAAGGAUGGAAAAAGAAUGAAGGGAUGAAAGACAGUAAACUAAAGAAGGAAGGGAGGAAGGAAGGACUCAUCUCAAGGUGCCUCUGUGUUCACUUCACUUCUGAACAGUGCUACAAAAUGGCAAACUGCAAAGAAAAGAAACGGAAUGACUCACAAAAGAAAGAAGAUGGAGGUGAAUGCACGACUGCUUACACCGUGUAUGACCCUGUUCCUCGAAUAGACCACGCCUAACAUCAUGCCCUCGUCUCGGAGUCCUGCAUUUGGGUACAGCCCUGCACCGAUGGUUCCUGACAGUGGGUGCGACUGGUUGUUUAUUCGGGAUUGGCUGGCUUUUGUCCGAAGAUAGCUGGGUCAUGGGUGGGAGCCAAUCCCAACACACUUUGGACGAGACGUGAGGUACACCCUGAAUUGGUCACCAUCUAAUCCCAAGGAAAAUAAAAGGCCUUUAACAGAUACUAUCACAUUUACAUCCAUGGGUAAGUGUUCCUGCACUUAAAAAAAUCUAAUUAUGCUUAAACCUAUCAGGAGAUCAUUAAUAUCUGACAAGUUUUGCAGGUUUGAAGAUUACAACGGACUUCUGUGAACUCUGUAGUCAAACUACAGAAAAAAAAAAAGGGGUUAGAGGCCAGUCUUUAUCUGUGGUGUCAGCAGUGUGUGUUACUCUUAUUAAUCAGUCACCCUUUUCAACUCCGCCCUCUACUUCUGCUGCUAAUAUUUCUUUGUCAUUGCAAGAAAGUUGCAAAAGUCACAUCAUCCUUAAUCAGUUCUCCAAAAUAAGCCACGUCCAUCCUUUUAUUUUCUAUAUUGCCUUUUGCCUAUCUCAGCUUAUUUUUGAAGCGGGGUACAACCUUGACUGGGCUCCAGUCAACGGACCUUUCCGAUGGUGAAACCCUUAAGCUCCGCCCCCUUAGCCAGAAGCUUACAAAAUGGCGAUUGAACAGAACGUGUUUGAAGUUGAUUCUCUAUCUCGUAUUGCAGAAAAUGUUGCGGUAUCUUUUUCGCCAAAUGCGUCAGACUUGUCCAAGAGAGUUCUCCAGAGAGAUCGCAACUAUUUCACGCAAGAAUAUGUACACAGAAUUAAGAUUUUGGAUGGAGCAAGAAGGGUUAGGGCAGGAAUGUCAGAGUUACAGCGAAAUGUUGGCGAUCGAUGCAAAAAAGGAAGGGGAAAAAAAGGAAAUGACAAAGGGCCAUUUUCUUCGUAACAUUAACUUUUCCAAGCGCACGUUACUGACAACCAGCACAGGCGAGAGGGGCGUGUCAAACCAGGGGUGAAGAUAAUGCCGCUAUCUGAUUGGCUAUUAUUGUAAAAGUGAGUGACAGGUCGGAAAGGUCCCUUACAUUAAGUAACCUAGCCUCUAUUUACCUCAAAAUGAUUAUAAUAUUAUUAUUAUUUUCAUGUUUUAUUCAUUUAAUAUUAUUAAGUAAUUUGAUAACUGACUUAUUGGAAAUCAUAAAGUCAAAUAAUAACAGUCUAGUGAGGUCAAUCACGAUGUUUUACACAAAACUCAACUCAAACAAGAGUACAUUUAUGAAUCAGGCGUACACAAUGUGUGGUUUUAGGGGAUUGUGAAGUGUUUGGAUUUUAUUUUAUUUUAUUUUGCCAAAGAUAGUAAAUAGAUCACCACCAUGCAAAACCGUUGCCUGGCGUCUCCUCCAUCCAUACUGUAUGCGUGACAUUUCCCAGUUCCCGUGUGUUUAGUGCGUUUGCAGGUAAAAGACAAACAGUGUGUAUGCGUGAG